rnacentral:rRNA from 1 species
GACGAACGCUGGCGGCGUGCUUAACACAUGCAAGUCGAACGAAGUGGCGAACGGGUGAGUAACGCGUAAUCAACCUGCCCUUCAGAGGGGGACAACAGUUGGAAACGACUGCUAAUACCGCAUACUGAAGGAGGGGAUUGCGUCUGAUUAGCUAGUUGGGGGGGUAACGGCCCACCAAAGCGAUGAUCAGUAGCCGGUCUGGUGGGAUGGACGGGCACAUUGGGACUUGGACACGGGCCAGACUGCUACGGGAGGGAGCAGGUGGGAAUCUUCCGAAAUGGACGAAAGUCGGACGGAGCAACGCCGCGUGAGUGAUGACGGCCUUCGGGUUGUAAAGCUCUGUUAAUCGGGACGCGGUACCGGAAUAGAAAGCCACGGCUAACUACGUGCCAGCAGCCGCGGUAAUAC